rnacentral:rRNA from 1 species
AUUGAACGCUGGCGGCAGGCCUAACACAUGCAAGUCGAGCGAGCGGCGGACGGGUGAGUAAUGUCUGGGAAACUGCCUGAUGGAGGGGGAUAACUACUGGAAACGGUAGCUAAUACCGCAUACCAUCAGAUGUGCCCAGAUGGGAUUAGCGAGUGGGUGGGGUAACGGCUCACCUAGGCGACGAUCCCUAGCUGGUCUGAGAGGAUGACCAGCAACACUGGAACGGAGACACGGUCCAGACUGCUACGGGAGGAAGCGGUGGGGAAUAUUGCACAAUGGGGGCAAGCCGGAUGCAGCCAUGCCGCGUGUGUGAAGAAGGCCUUCGGGUUGUAAAGCACUUUCAGCGGGAAGGCGUUACCCGCAGAGGAAGCACCGGCUAACUCCGUGCCAGCAGCCGCGGUAAUUC